CGGCCGGGGCCGCGGCGCGCGGAAGCCACUUUGCACGGCCAGCGCCGGGCACAAGUUAGUUAGUUGCCGGGCUCCCGGGGGCCUCCACGCUGAGGGAGAAUAACGCUAAGACGUUUGGGGGGAGAGAGGCGCCAAGGGGCAAAAGAGUGGGGAAAAGUGCGAAAAGAAGCAACAGCCGCUCCACCCGGGACCAGAAAAGUGGCCGGUCGUGUCCCGGCCGCCCGCUCUGCGCCGGGGAUGCGGCGGCGGCGGCGGCGGCUAACGGUCCAGGGAGGCGGCAGGGGCGGCAAGAGCCGCUAGGCGGAGAGAGACCAGGUGAUACGUGGCUCCCAUAGGCAGUUAGCAGCACAGAUGCUGUUUUCUUCCAGGCCAUUUAGAGCAUCCUUCUGACUCUUCACCUUCCUUUAAAGGACUUGAAGAUAAUUUAAGUUUCUAAUCUAUCACAAUAGAGCUGUUUACCCCAUAAGGUUAAUUUAUGGUAAAUGGUUUUCAUCACCAACUAUUAUUAUGGAGAAUGAGGCAUGAGAAGAAGAAAUCAAGUGGCAAUCUAAAGGGCCACAUCUGUAACUCACAGCUCCAGAACUGCAUCAUCUUGCUGCAUUAUCUUAUUCCUGCAUUCCUAAGCUCCUCUCUGAAUUUCUGGACUGGAACCUUACCUUGCUAACACAGAAUUUGCAGCAAUUAGAAAACUCUGUUCCUUCUGAAGUCUCAAGUAGAAGUCUUCUAGGACAGAUUGCUGUAACCCACCGGGUCAGGUGAAAACCUUGGAAUGUUGCAUGGGCACCACUUCAGGUGGCUGACAAACGUCAAGAAUCUCAGAGUUUGAAAGAAAUCAGUACAAGCUCAUUGCAGCAAAUGCCCCUGUGUACCCCAUACCAGGUGAUAAACUAGGACUUAAAGAAACAAGACUCACAGCCCUUUGUGGUCACGGGUGCUAGUUACAAGGAAACAGCUCACUAUGACUGGCUCAUCAAUGCCACUGAGCUCAGCGGAAUAACCUAGCUUCUAGAAAGAGAAGGAUGUCAAGUUUAUGCUGAAGAGUGUGGAGAAGCUUACUUGGUGACGGGCCCUUUGAGGGGACACACCUGCAUGCUGUUGAUCUGCUCAUUCUCUAGGACUAAAGUGAAAUGUUGCUCCCCUAGUUUCUCCACAAGAUGGAAAAUUCUGUGACAUCUUUCAUACAAUUCUGCAGGCAGCCUAAAAGGAGUCAGCCACCACCAGAAGCCAUGCCAACCUCAUAACCCAUCCUCGUAUUGGUUUCCCAUCUUCUCUGCUUGGUUCAUCUUGUCCCUGUCUCCUGCUCACUAGGUAACACUCCCCAUGGAAGUAUUAGUCUCAGGGUCUGCCUGCUAGAAGAUGGCUAAGUCCUAGUUUUUUUUCUUUUUUUAUUAAUCAGGGUACAGUGUCUAAGCUGUCUCAACACCCCCUCAUAUCAGCCCUCCUUUCACUGUCAGUAGGCAGUUAGUAUGUUUUAGAUAUGGGGAAUGAGGUUGCUGUAGCCCUGCUUUGGACACGGUACAUCUCGGUGAAAGCGGUGAACUGUGAUUGUCUUUGUUUCAGUCACAGAAGGCCUGGGAUGAAGUCUACAGCUCGCAUCUGGCAUCUGGCCAGCAACAUUGGCCAUGUGCUUUUGUCUACUAACUUUAACCUGGCUCUGUUUGAUUUUUCCAAUCUGUAUUUUUAACUUCCUCCCAAGUUUUUAUUUGUUCAUUUUAUCUUGUUCUAUUUAUGGAUUUGAGGGAUAUAAAUAAGUAAAGAACCAUGUGAGCAAGACUUUUUUAAAAAUAUCAUAUGCCCAGAAUCACAUAUGUUACCCUUGCCAUGUAACAAAACUUCAGAAAAUCAUGGUUUUUAAAAUUAGCAGAAGAAAACUUUAUUGUCUUCUUUAAUAUAAAUUUGUUUAAUCACUUAUAAGCCUCUGAAUUCAUAUUUGUGAAUUUUUGAUUAUUUUCUUAAUUUUGAAGAAGUAAGCAGUAGAUAGGAAAGAUAAAAACUAAAUAAGAGCAUAGUCUACCAUUGACCCCACAGUUUGAUUGUGGGUUUGUAACUUGACCAUUCUUAACCUUUUUUUUUUUUUUUCAUCUAAAUUACAGAAAGUUUGGGUAUGUGACAAUAAUGGGUCACAUGAUCAGAAUUUGGCUUAUAUGGGAAUCCAGGAAGUCAUAAAGGGUACCCAUGGAAGCACUAUUAACAGUAAUGAACAAUUUUAAGUGUACUAGUAGAAAGUAAAUUCAAAACAAUGGACAAGCAUCGCAGCCUGACUUCAAACUACUGAUUAAAUAAAUGUGCCUCAGAAAUGUCAGGCAAACUGAAAGGGCCUACUGACAUGUGGAUCUUGCUGGCAGGGGAAAGAAGAAUAUGUCACAAUCCAAGUAUACCUGAGGGGAAUUGGGUUGAGGAGCAACAUAGAAUUACUUUGGUUAUUGUCCCAUCCCAAUGGGCUCAACUCUGGGUCCCAAGGAAAUAGCUCUCUCACAAAAGAGAGGGUAGUGCGAACACAGGUUUGGGGAUGCCUUCUGGGGUUUGCCGGGAGCACAGAGAACUGUGUAGUGUUCCCUACAGUCCUUGAAGUGUUUUAAUAGUCAGGGGCAUCAAUAAGAACAAGCAAAUAGAACUGAGAAAACCGUCCAUGACUUCAGUCAUGCAGGUCCCAAGGAUGCCCGGAAAUAAUUAUUAUGAAGGCCGUUAGAUUUGAAGGCACCAAGAUCCACAUUAAGCAGGUAGAAUCAAGAGCACAAGAUCCACAUUAAGCAGGUAGAAUAAAGACAUGCAGAAUUCCCCAUGCUACCCAAAAGUAGAAUGUUCCUAUUUGAUGUGAUUUAGUAGGUUAUUUUUUGUAUCUUGGAAUGCUCAAAAGUUUUUCCGUAUAAAUUAAUGGUAAUAGCAUUCCCAGACACACACAAAUAAGCUACCAAAUCAUACCAUGUAGCAAUGUUCUCCUUUCAGACAGUAAAGAAAACCUGUAGAUACCAUCCAAGUCUCCCUCCAAGAAUAAAGCCCAUUCCUCCAGCUGCUAAAAAUGUCCUGGUAGACUGCCGUCAGCUGAGGGAAUUGCUUACCCCAAGUCAUGCUUCCUUCUAGGGACAACAGGAAGUGGUUGCAGGACAAGGGGUAGGGAAGAGGUUCUUGCCAAUAUAUCACAUCCAAAGUAAAAUAUAAGUUUUGCAUCUUACAACUCCCACCACAAAAAGUUGAAGUACAAAAUCUGAGGAAUAUAUUUGAGUUCUGGAAGAAGUAUAUUCCACACCUGGGGAAACUAUUUUGGUGUUUAACUUUGAACAGUUUUGAGAAGAUAGAACAAGACCAGGAUUUACACCAGAUCUAGGUUUCAUUGCAAGCAAUCCUACCACUCAACCAUAUGAGCCAAUGGGUUUCUGAGCAUUAGAGGUGCUAGUGGUGGAAAAAGGUGUCAUGCGGAAUUUUUGGCAAGUCCCAAUCAGAAGAUCAUGAUGGAGAAUCUAGGAUACUGAAGUGAAUCUAUGCCAAUCUGUAGCAACAAAGUUUACAACUUUUGAACAGCGCUGGCAUGCUAUGGUGACCUAGCAGAGAAAGAGCACCUAAGCAUGGGACACCCCAUGACCACAUGACUAAAGCAGCCCACCUGAUUGGGUUCUGGCAGAACCAGCACAUUUUAGAUGGGAUAGCCCAAGAAACACUCAUCGCAAGACCAGCCUGGUAUCUGGGAUGAAGCACAAGCAAGAUAGAGGACAAACUCAGACUGCAAAAAGUGUCCCAUGUCACCUGCUGCCACUGAACUAGCAUCUUCCCUUCAGCACACACCCAUGGUCACAUGGGGGACUCUGUAGGGUCAAUUGAUUAGGGGGAAAGGAGCUUAAGUUUGCUUCACGGGUGGGCCAGCUCUAUACACGUUUGCAGCUGAAAAU